rnacentral:lncRNA from 1 species
UUCCAAACAGUGUACUAGAAUGAAAAAAGUGUCCUAAGCAAAUCCCAAUAUUGAAGUAUUUCUUCCGCUUUGAAUUUCAUAAAUUAGAUGCUUCAAUUCAGAUGUUAUUUACUAGUAGGAUUACACAAAUUGAAAUCUUUCAGACUCAAGGUUCUCCAGAUUUUCAAAAAUCCAAAACGAUUUUCAGACAUAACACCAAACAGGGGAAAACACAAAAUAAAUAUAAAAACCAAAACAUAAAAAUCUUGAAAGAAUAUGUACCUUUUCAGAUUUCUCCUUAUCAGCUUUCUCUUGCUCCAAAAGUUUCAUCUUCUCCAUCCUCUCCCUCUCCAUUUUCUUCACCCCCAAAAAACCAUAAAGUAAUAAAUAUUAUUCACCUCAACCAGACCACAAAAUUGUCAAAAAUAAUUCACCCAAAAAAGUACAGUAAAGAAAUGGGUUUUACUUAGAUGUAAACGGUUUCCUUAGCACGGCCUUCUUCACUGAGGAUACGACUCGACAUCGAUGAUCGCCAGUUGGCUUCCAUUAGAAUUCGGAUGAUGAACUCCACUGCACGAAACCGCUCGUCCUUUCCCAAUAUCUUUAUAAAAGUCAUUUUCCCACCUUUGGUCCCUAUCCUAUUUACUUCUUCCGGAUUCAUAGCUUAUCAUUUGAAUUUU